rnacentral:rRNA from 1 species
CUAGCCUACGGGGCGCAGCAGAGAGGAAUAUUGGUCAAUGGGCGCGCGCCUGAACCAGCCAAGUUGCGUGAAGGAUGACUGCCCUACGGGUUGUAAACUUCUUUUAUAAAGGAAUAAAGUGAGGCACGUGUGCCUUUUUGUAUGUACUUUAUGAAUAAGGAUCGGCUAACUCCGUGCCAGCAGCCGCGGUAAUACGGAGGAUCCGCGCGUUAUCCGGAUUUAUUGGGUUUAAAGGGAGCGUAGAUGGGUUGUUAAGUCAGUUGUGAUAGUUUGCGGCUCAACCGU